AAUAAGUUCUGAAAUCCCAUAAUACUUAAAGAGGAUGUGAGAGUUAUUACUGGGAAUACAAGCAAUAUCAUGAAGUCAUUUAAAAUCUGCACACUGCCAGAAGUGUGGAUUAUAAAAAGGAGAAUCUGAGAACUGGAAAGCUUUUGGGAAGAUUUAGCAUAUUUAAGAUGUAAAAAUUACUUUGCUGACUUAUUUAGGGAGCCUGCAUGGGUUGAACAGGAGCUGGAGCAGCAUGCUGCCAAAGGAAGGGGAGAGUUGCUGUGCUUUUGACAAGGUUUCAGAGGCAGAGGAGUUUGAUGACAUAAGGUGCAUCCUGCAAGCUCUGGAAAGUGAAAUGAUGAUCAGACAAUAAUCUUAUAUUUUCCCUUCAUCUUCUCUUUCCAACAGUGGCUGGGGAUCCAAGACUCCAAGGAUCAACUCAGAUAAGACACAGCAUUGAUUCACACAGGAAGAACUGUGAGAAAGUUUGCAGAGAUAUAAGAAAGGAUAUUUAGGACUCCCAGGAUUCACCCAGAUCACAUGCUGGCACAGAAAUCCCUCAGCAAUAAUAAACUUUUUCUUCUCUAAAACCAAGUGGAAGCAAGAGAACUAUCCUGACUCUCGAAUCUGAGGACCUUUUUGAUGAUGCAAAAAAUCACCCUGUGGAAUCUAUGUCCCUUCCAGAAGCAAUGCCUGGGAAGUGAAUGCAGGAUUUAAGCUGCAAGAUGGGAAAGAGAGAAGGAGAUGUCAUUCCACCCAAUUUUAUUAUGUUAUAUCAGUGUUUAUAUCAGAAAACCCACCAAGGAACUUUCCAUGUCAGAGCCUAAUGUGUGAUGCAUUGAGAUUUAUUAUAAUAAAGCAGUAGAAAUAAGCAGCAGAAAUCUGUGAAGCAGAACUUAGGAAUUUACCAGCAAUAAUUGCUAUCCACCUCUAGUAUGUGCCACACUGUAUUUAAACUACGUGUGCUAUGUAUUACAGACUGCUAUUAAUUAAAAGAAUAUUUUACAUUUAAUUUUGUACAUCUUGUUACCACUUCUAUUUUGGUUUAAGUGGGGGAGACUGGGUAUUUGAUUUUUAUUUUCUCUGAGCACAGUCUUUGAAUAUGUGAUUGAGAACAACUAUGUAACAUAUGUUAAUGAAUUAAUGAAUUAAUAUAUAAUUUUACUUUCAAGAGUUUGACCAAAAAUUUAUAUUUAUGCCAUGUGAGUGAAAAAACAUUCAACAAAAAAUUAUCACUCAAAAAGGUGAAAGCUCUAGGGUUUUGUUUGAAAAACUUGUUUAUUCAGAAAAAAGUAUUAUAAAAAUUUUUUCUCUGGAUAUUGUGAAUAUGUGUAAGCAAGGACCUGAUGUCUCAGUUUAACCUCAAGUUUCAGUUUGUGUGUCAGACAAAUCUAUAAUAAAUAACAUAAACUGCCAGGUUUACAUUUCAUCCACUUAUGAGAUUAUUUUUUCUCUGGAAGGGUAGAUGGGUAAAUCAGAUUAAAACCAUACCUGACUGUCAUCCAGUAAACCCACUCUUCCAGUUAUGUAGUUCAUUUUUCUCUUACCUCUUUGAAUGAGUUUCAAUGUCUAAUAAAACUUUAUUUACUGGGAGUGCCAAGAAUUGAGUCAAUAAAUUUAUUGAGCAAGAUAUGAAAUAGAAAUGUCAAAGAUGAAUAAAUUUUAGCACAGUGUUUACUUUAUAAUUGCAUUUUUUUCAUGGAAUUCAAUUUCUCUGUAGACUCUGAAGCAUAACAACAGCAGAAAAUGAAGUCACAGUACCCAAGAUGAGAAAAUGUAAAAUAGUAAACUUCUUUUUUAGAGCAAUAACUGAAAACAUUAUCAAUGUUGUGAGUAUUUAAUAAAAUACAGCAUUUUAUGUAUUACAGUCUAAAUUCUAGUCUGUUCACCUCCAUCUGUACUUUUCUGGGAGAACUUUGUUUCUUUAUUUUAAUUUUUAUACCUAAAUAAUAAUCUGGAAUAGUCAGCUUGUCCCUGUAUGACCUGAGUUUCUGUGGUACUUUUCAUUUGUAUUAUACCAUAGGCAGUAAGAGCCAAAACAGGAACAUAAAGCUUUUAGCCCAAGCUACAAACAAAAGCAUGUUUUAUAUUCUGCCAUGAGAACUUUAAUAGAAUUAUUCAAUUCUUGGCGAUUCCAAAAAAACAAUGGCUUCUGGGAUACAAACUGAUGUAUUUUUAAUCCCUAUUUUAACCACAAAACCUCCUACUUCAUUCAAUAGAAACAAAUUAUCAAUUCAAUUCUUCUCAUGAGAGCUGUGGCACGUUCCUUCAUCAGACUUGCUAUAUCACAACCUGGGAUUCUGCUGCAUACAUACUGACCACUACACAGAGCCGAGCCCAUGCUUUUCCAGACAGCUUGGAUUCACAUAGACAAGUCUCAAAAUUUUCUUGGACAGCAGGAAGGAUAUGUAUGAACCUUUAUCACCAGUGUCUGCAAUACAGCUGCUGUCAUUAUAGUGAGGUCUACACAGAUUUGAGUUAGCAGCCAAGCAAACCUGUCAAAUGUAAUGUUUGAGUCCGCAGCCUUCACUGGACUUUGAUGUUCUGAGGACGCAAGUCAUCUAGCUAAAAAUUAGUAGAGGUUUUGCAUUACACAAAUCAUGGUGACAGCUACAGAGUAGACACACGAUUUGUUACUGCUCAGUGCUUUUUACAGUCAUAAGUCUCAGCAAUCCCCAUUACAGUGCCCACAUAUUAAGAACAAGUUAGGAUUAAUGAAUUCUCAGCUGAAGAAAAAAAAGUCUCAGCCUCAAAACGAUAACUGUUUGAUAGCUUGUAAACAGAAAAUAUUGAAACUACAUUAUCUAACCCUCCAGCUCUUUUUGUUUCUUUGGUCCAAAAAUAUAGAAUAUUAGAAAAUGCAAUAACAGUAUUUACACUUCUUUCCUACAGGCUCAAUGAAAUUCUGUUCUUGACUGAGAUUUGUAAGGGCAAUAAUUACAACAUUGUAGCUCACAAAAAUAUUUAGGCAAAGAUUUUAAAUCGGCACACAUAAAACAAAAGGAAGAAUGCAACAUUUUUAGCUGAGAUUCAAAUACACCUACAGAGUUUAUAUAUAGAUUCAGUACUGUGUUAUCACUGACCAGCCUUAUGAUGUUUUGCUAAUCAGAAUGAAGCCCAUUUAGAAACAACAUAAAAAUAAACAAAUAAAUAAUGAAGCUAACAGUUUAAUUUUCAAUUGCUUUAACAAAGAGAAGCAUACCUCCUUUGAAGAAUGAGGAAAAAAUGUGGAAUUUUUACGAAAGGCUUCUUAAAGUAGACCAAAAAAUACAGGACUUAUUUUACGUGAAUGUAUGGUACAACAGAAGUACUGAGACAAAAUUAAUGAAAACCACUGAGUAGUGUAAAUUUUAAAUGGCUACAAAGGUAUAUUAGGAACCACCUUUGCUGCUGCUCACAUGGACCUAUCAAAUGCUAAAAUAUUUCAGCUGAAAGCACUGCACAAAACUGGUGAGAUCCUUAUCCAAAUAGGAGGGUUUGUCUGUCAACUAUCUGGAUUCUGUCUUGGUUUCAUGGAAUGUGAAGAUAUAAACAAACUUUAAUAAUUUGCCAGAAAUUUAUGACCUGCUUAUUAUGACAGUUUUUUGCUAAUAUUUUUUCUUUAAUGGAUAAAUAGUCUUUUUUUUUAAAGUGCUUUAACUCUAUUCUUAAAUUUUUAUUAACAAUAUAAUAGUAUGUUAUCUGAUAUGAAUUGCUUACAGACUAUUUGCUCUUUGUGAUUAACUGUUUCUGAACUGAGAGCAGCUUUAUUAUAGUUAGACUUAAUCUCCUCUUGAUCUAAUUUACCACAUGUUCUACAGUACUAUGAUCUUAAAUCUUGGGUUCAUUUGCAGUUUAAUAAUAUUAGAAUAAUAACUUCAGAUAAAAAAUACUGCUUCAGGCUUAGCCCCAUAUUGACCCUUUUACAGUCAGUAUUUACACAUUUCAAGAAUAUUUUUGUAUUAAUAAAAUAUUCAGUUUUAAAAGUCAGUUACAGGGAUGUAAUCUCGCAUUAAAAAUUUUAUUCCUCUUGAAUACAGGGAAAACAAACAGCAGUGCUAUCUUGCUCAAAAAUCCACACCUAUGAUUUCAUCAUCAAUUUGGUCUCAAAUAUUUUUCUUUCUGAUUCCUCUAAUGAUUAUGUUCACAAAUCCAUCUCCAGGAUAUAUGCCGUACAAAAAAAUCUUAUGUUAAUAGCCAGAGAAAUUUCUAGUCCACAGUUUUUGCUCCUAGUCAGCUCUGGGCAAUGGUCACCUCUGAUAAUCUUUUCUGGUGGCUUUUGUCUUCUGUUCACUUAUGCUGAGAGGCUUAAAAACAUGAUAAAGAAUUUUUAUUUAUUUUACUUCUGCUGUGCUGUUGCUACCAAAUACGAAGGAUAAAUUCCAUGUAGGAAAACAUCACAUUCUAAAAUGGGAUUGGGGAUUAUUUUAGGUGAUGGUGGUGGAUAAAGUGUUGAAGGAUUUGAAUGCUCGUUUUGUUAGGCAUGGCAUGCUUUAAAAGCCUCGUAAUUUAAAUUUUAGUUCACACUCCAUUUCUGGAAAUCGUAACACUUCAACAUUCAAAAGUAUUGAAGAUAAGACAGGUAUUUUAGUAUAAGGACAUUACUAUUAUUAAAUUCAUGCUACUAGAACUCAUGAAAUCAUGGUUUUGUAAUCACAUACAGCUGUUAGUAGCCUGGUUAUUUUUACUUGCAUUUGACUAGGCAGACUAUCUCUUGGGUGCAAUUUCCCUACUUAGCUCUGUGAAAUGUUAGAACAAAAGAAUACCAAUUUCAUAGUAGAAUUGCAGCAAAAGUAUUUAAUUUUUCUAUAGAAAUCUGUAUUAGGUCAGAAACAAUAUUUGUGAUGGUUGAUUUUUAAUAGUUUAAAAUAAAAAU